CACGUAGGGUGCAGGCGUUAAUCGGAAUUACUGGGCGUAAAGCGUGCGCAGGCGGUCUUUUAAGUCAGAUGUGAAAUCCCCGGGCUUAACCUGGGAACUGCGUUUGAAACUGGAAGGCUAGAGUGUGGCAGAGGGGGGUGGAAUUCCACGUGUAGCAGUGAAAUGCGUAGAGAUGUGGAGGAACACCGAUGGCGAAGGCAGCCCCCUGGGCUAACACUGACGCUCAUGCACGAAAGCGUGGGGAGCAAACAGG
rnacentral:rRNA from 1 species